rnacentral:rRNA from 1 species
UAAGGAAUAAUGCUCAAUGGGAGAAAUCCUGAAGCAGCAACGCCGCGUGGAGGAUGAAGGGUCUAUGACUUGUAAACUCCUGUAAAGAAGGAAAAAAUUCCCAUUUGAUGGGAGAUGAUGGUACUUCUGGAGUAAGCCCCGGCUAACUACGUGCCAGCAGCCGCGGUAAUACGUAGGGGGCAAGCGUUGUCCGGAUUUACUGGGUGUAAAGGGUGCUCAGGCGGAUUUGUAAGUCAGAGGUGAAAUCUUACAGCUUAACUGUGAAACUGCCUUUGAUACUGCAAGCCUAGAGUAUGGAAGAGAGUGAUGGAAUAUCUGGUGUAGCAGUGAAAUGCGUAGAUAUCAGAUAGAACACCAAUGGCGAAGGCAGUCACUUGGUCCAUUACUGACGCUAAAGCACGAAAGCGUGGGUAGCAAACA